rnacentral:rRNA from 1 species
AACGAACGCUGGCGGCAUGCCUAACACAUGCAAGUCGAACGAGACCUUCGGGUCUAGUGGCGCACGGGUGCGUAACGCGUGGGAACCUGCCCUUAGGUUCGGAAUAACUCCCCGAAAGGGGUGCUAAUACCGGAUAAUGUCUUCGGACCAAAGAUUUAUCGCCUUUGGAUGGGCCCGCGUUGGAUUAGCUAGUUGGUAGGGUAAAAGCCUACCAAGGCGACGAUCCAUAGCUGGUCAGAGAGGAUGAUCAGCCACACUGGGACUGAGACACGGCCCAGACUCCUACGGGAGGCAGCAGUGGGGAAUAUUGGACAAUGGGCGAAAGCCUGAUCCAGCAAGGCCGCGUGAGUGAUGAAGGCCUUAGGGUUGUAAAGCUCUUUUACCCGGGAUGAUAAUGACAGUACCGGGAGAAUAAGCUCCGGCUAACUCCGUG